rnacentral:rRNA from 1 species
UACAGAGGUCUCAAGCGUUGUUCGGAUUCAUUGGGCGUAAAGGGUGCGUAGGUGGCGCCGUAAGUCGGGUGUGAAAUUUCGGAGCUUAACUCCGAAACUGCAUUCGAUACUGCGGUGCUUGAGGACUGGAGAGGAGACUGGAAUUCAUGGUGUAGCAGUGAAAUGCGUAGAUAUCGGAAGGAACACCAGUGGCGAAAGCGGCUUCCUGGUCCAGCACCGACGUUCAGGCACGAAAGCGUGGGGAGCAAACAGG